rnacentral:rRNA from 1 species
GAUGAACGCUAGCGGCAGGCCUAAUACAUGCAAGUCGAACGAUACUUUCCAGCUUGCUGGAAAGGAAAGUGGCGCACGGGUGCGUAACGCGUAUGCAACCUACCUUAAUCAGGGGGAUGGCCCGAAGAAAUUCGGAUUAACACCGCAUAGAAUCACAGUACAGCAUUGUACAAUGAUCAAAUAUUUAUAGGAUUAAGAUGGGCAUGCGUGACAUUAGCUAGUUGGCGGGGUAACGGCCCACCAAGGCGACGAUGUCUAGGGGAUCUGAGAGGGUGACCCCCCAGAAUGGUACUGAGACACGGACCAGACUCCUACGGGAGGCAGCAGUAAGGAAGAUUGGGCAAUGGAGGCAACUCUGAACCAGCCAUGCCGCGUGCAGGAAGACAGCCCUCUGGGUCGUAAACUGCUUUUAUUCGGGAAUAAGCCUACUUACGUGUAAGUAGCUGAAUGUACCGAAGGAAUAAGGAUCGGCUAACUCCGUGCCAGCCGCCGCUGUAA